rnacentral:rRNA from 1 species
AGCGAACGCUGGCGGCAGGCCUAACACAUGCAAGUCGAACGAACCUUUCGUGGUUAGUGGCGGUCGGGUGAGUAACACGUGGGAACUUGCCUUUAGGUUCGGUAUAACUCAGGUUAACUUGUGCUAAUACCGAUUGUGCCCUUCGGGGGUAAGGUUUCUCGCCUUUAGAUCGGCCCUCGUCUGUUUAGCUAGUUGGUUGAGGUAAUGGCUCACCAAGGCUACGAUCAGUAGUUGGUCUGAGAGGAUGAUCAGCCACAUGGGGACUGAGACACGGACCAAAAUGCUACGGGAGGGAGCAGAGGGGAAUAUAGCGAAAUGGGGGAAAGGCUGACGAAGCCAUGCGGGGUAAAUGAUGAAGGUGGGAGGAAAGUAAAAUUCUUUGACAGGGGACGAUAAUGACGGUAACCGGAGAAGAAGCCCCGGCUAACUACGUG